AGCUCCAGUAGCGUAUAUUAAAGUUGUUGCAGUUAAAAAGCUCGUAGUUGGAUUUCUGACUAGACGCUGCUGACCCGCCGCCGUUAGGCGUGUGUGUGUCGGUUUUUUAGUGUCUGUCAUCCUUCCAGAUUCCGCCUUUACCCUUCACUGGGCCGGAGGUGUGUUCUGGAACUUUUACUUUGAAAAAAUUAGAGUGUUCAAAGCAGGCUCGCGCUGUGAAUACAUUAGCAUGGAAUAAUAAUAUAGGACUUUUGUUCUAUUUUGUUGGUUUUCAGGACGAAAGUAAUGAUUGAUAGGGAUAGUUGGGGGUGCUAGUAUUCAGCGGCCAGAGGUGAAAUUCUUGGAUUCGCUGAAGACUAACUUAUGCGAAAGCAUUCACCAAGGAUGUCUUCUUUAAUCA
rnacentral:rRNA from 1 species